GAUGAACGCUGGCGGCGUGCCUAAUACAUGCAAGUCGAGCGAAUGGAUUAAGAGCUUGCUCUUAUGAAGUUAGCGGCGGACGGGUGAGUAACACGUGGGUAACCUGCCCAUAAGACUAGGAUAACUCCGGGAAACCGGGGCUAAUACCGGAUAACAUUUUGAACCGCAUGGUUCGAAAUUGAAAGGCGGCUUCGGCUGUCACUUAUGGAUGGACCCGCGUCGCAUUAGCUAGUUGGUGGGGGAACGGCUCACCAAGGCAACGAUGCGUAGCCGACCUGAGAGGGUGAUCGGCCACACUGGGACUGAGACACGGCCCAGACUCCUACGGGAGGCAGCAGUAGGGAAUCUUCCGCAAUGGACGAAAGUCUGACGGAGCAACGCCGCGUGAGUGAUGAAGGCUUUCGGGUCGUAAAACUCUGUUGUUAGGGAAGAACAAGUGCUAGUUGAAUAAGCUGGCACCUUGACGGUACCUAACCAGAAAGCCACGGCUAACUACGUGCCAGCCGCCGCCGUAA
rnacentral:rRNA from 1 species